UCACCCCGAGUCCAACAAGAUCACGAACGAUGGGAAUCCAAGAAACUGGAAUUUUGAAGAAUUUUAAGUGAUUAUUCAUGUACCUUUAUACAUAUCCACCAUAUUAACGGAAAUAUUUAGGGAACACACGCCUACAAUUCGCUAUGAUCUUACCGUCAGCGGUUCACCUAAAGGAGUUUCGCGUUUGCCACAAUAACCAGCAUAACUGAAGCUCACACGAACAUCACCGAUCUGUCACGAGUGCCGGGAAAAGAUGAUCAUGGCAAAAGUCAACUGAACUAAUUUUAAACAACAAGGUUUGCAAGAAUAAAAUUUGAUGUUAUAAGUGAUGAAAACAAGAAACCGGUAAAACUUUCUGUUAUCGAACCCUAUUCAUUAUCAGAUGGUAGUUUUUUCAAUGUUGGUAAGACCUUAUUCAUUGUUAGUUCAGAGAAUUAGAAAACAUAGAAUAAUCUAAAUGUGAUUCUAAAUUUAACUAUAUUCUCUAAGCUAAAUCUAAUUGUAAAGAAAAGAUUUUCUAACCCUGUUUCAA